GUAAGGAAUAUUGGACAAUGGACGCAAGUCUGAUCCAGCCAUGCCGCGUGAAGGAUUAAGGUCCUCUGGAUUGUAAACUUCUUUUAUAAGGGACGAAAAAAGGCUUUUCUAAGUCGUCUGACGGUACCUUAUGAAUAAGCACCGGCUAACUCCGUGCCAGCAGCCGCGGUAAUACGGAGGGUGCAAGCGUUAUCCGGAUUCACUGGGUUUAAAGGGUGCGUAGGCGGGCAGGUAAGUCAGUGGUGAAAUCCUAGAGCUUAACUCUAGAACUGCCAUUGAUACUAUCUGUCUUGAAUAUUGUGGGAGUAAGCGGAAUAUGUCAUGUAGCGGUGAAAUGCUUAGAUAUGACAUAGAACACCUAUUGCGAAGGCAGCUUACUACGCAUAUAUUGACGCUGAGGCACGAAAGCGUGGGGAUCAAACAGGAUUAGAUACCCGUGUAGUCC
rnacentral:rRNA from 1 species